rnacentral:rRNA from 1 species
GUGCCUAAUACAUGCAAGUCGAGCGAACAGACGAGGAGCUUGCUCCUCUGACGUUAGCGGCGGACGGGUGAGUAACACGUGGAUAACCUACCUAUAAGACUGGGAUAACUUCGGGAAACCGGAGCUAAUACCGGAUAAUAUAUUGAACCGCAUGGUUCAAUAGUGAAAGACGGUUUUGCUGUCACUUAUAGAUGGAUCCGCGCCGCAUUAGCUAGUUGGUAAGGUAACGGCUUACCAAGGCAACGAUGCGUAGCCGACCUGAGAGGGUGAUCGGCCACACUGGAACUGAGACACGGUCCAGACUCCUACGGGAGGCAGCAGUAGGGAAUCUUCCGCAAUGGGCGAAAGCCUGACGGAGCAACGCCGCGUGAGUGAUGAAGGUCUUCGGAUCGUAAAACUCUGUUAUUAGGGAAGAACAAAUGUGUAAGUAACUAUGCACGUCUGACGGUACCUAAUCAGAAAGCCACG